CAUAUCAAUAAGCGGAGGAAAAGAAACCAACCGGGAUUACCUCAGUAACGGCGAGUGAAGCGGUAACAGCUCAAAUUUGAAAUCUGGCUCUUCCGGAGUCCGAGUUGUAAUUUGUAGAAGAUGCUUUGGGAGGUAGGGCCGGCCUAAGUUCCUUGGAACAGGACAUCAGAGAGGGUGAGAAUCCCGUAUGUGGCCGUGGCCUACGCCCGUGUAAAGCUCUUUCGACGAGUCGAGUUGUUUGGGAAUGCAGCUCAAAAUGGGUGGUAAAUUUCAUCUAAAGCUAAAUAUUGGCCAGAGACCGAUAGCGCACAAGUAGAGUGAUCGAAAGAUGAAAAGCACUUUGGAAAGAGAGUUAAACAGUACGUGAAAUUGUUGAAAGGGAAGCGCUUGCAACCAGACUUGGGCGUCGUCGAUCAUCCGGGGUUCUCCUCGGUGCACUCGACGAGGCACAGGCCAGCAUCGGUUUGGAUGGUUGGAGAAAGGCCCUAGGAACGUAGCUCUCUUCGGGGAGUGUUAUAGCCUAGAGCGCAAUGCAGCCCAUCCGGACCGAGGACCGCGCCUUUGGCUAGGAUGCUGGCGUAAUGGUUGCAAGCGACCCGUCUU
rnacentral:rRNA from 1 species